ACGCUGGCGGCACGCCUAACACAUGCAAGUCGAACGAAGUAGCAAUACUUAGUGGCAGACGGGUGAGUAACAUGUGGGUAUCUACCCUUUGGCCUGGAAUAACACGAGGAAACUUGUGCUAAUACCGGAUAAGUCUUUACGGAGAAAGCUUUAUGCACCAUUGGAUGAGCCUGCACUUGAUUAGUUUGUUGGUGGGGUAAUGGCCUACCAAGACUGUGAUCAAUAGCUGAUUUGAGAGGAUGAUCAGCCACAUUGGGACUGAGACACGGCCCAAACUCCUACGGGAGGCAGCAGUGGGGAAUCUUGCACAAUGGAGGAAACUCUGAUGCAGCGAUGCCGCGUGAGUGAAGAAGGCCCUUGGGUUGUAAAGCUCUUUCGUCGGGGAAGAAAAUGACUGUACCCGAAUAAGAAGGUCCGGCUAACUUCGUGCCAGCAGCCGCGGUAAUACGAAGGGACCUAGCGUAGUUCGGAAUUACUGGGCUUAAAGAGUUCGUAGGUGGUUGAAAAAGUUGGUGGUGAAAUCCCAGAGCUUAACUCUGGAACUGCCAUCAAAACUUUUCAGCUAGAGUAUGAUAGAGGAAAGCAGAAUUUCUAGUGUAGAGGUGAAAUUCGUAGAUAUUAGAAAGAAUACCAAUUGCGAAGGCAGCUUUCUGGAUCAUUACUGACACUGAGGAACGAAAGCAUGGGUAGCGAAGAGGAUUAGAUACCCUCGUAGUCCAUGCCGUAAACGAUGUGUGUUAGACGUUGGAAAUUUAUUUUCAGUGUCGCAGCGAAAGCGAUAAACACACCGCCUGGGGAGUACGACC
rnacentral:rRNA from 1 species